rnacentral:rRNA from 13 species
GUUUGAUCCUGGCUCAGAACGAACGCUGGCGGCAGGCCUAACACAUGCAAGUCGAGGGGUAACAGAAAAAGCUUGCUUUUUGCUGACGACCGGCGCACGGGUGCGUAACGCGUAUGCAACCUACCUCUUACUGGAGGAUAGCCCUAAGAAAUUGGGAUUAAGACUCCAUAGUAUUAUUCUUUCGCAUGUUAGAAUAAUUAAAGGUUACGGUAAGAGAUGGGCAUGCGUCCCAUUAGCUAGAUGGUAAGGUAACGGCUUACCAUGGCAACGAUGGGUAGGGGGCCUGAGAGGGUGAUCCCCCACACUGGUACUGAGACACGGACCAGACUCCUACGGGAGGCAGCAGUGGGGAAU